CCGCGCCCCGGCCGGCCGCGCCAUGCGGCACAGCGUGGGGCCGGCCCCGCCGCGGCCUCCGGGGGGAAAGGGGGCGGCGGAGGGAAAGGGGAGAAAGCGAGGGGGGAAAUAGGGGGCUCAGGGGGAGAACAGGGAGUCGGGGAGGGUGCCGGGGGGGGAUUUUGGGGGUGCCCGGCGGGGCUGGGGCCGGGCACGCGGCGGCGGCGGCCUCCCCUUCCCAGCAUUCCGCCGCCGCGCAGGCAACGUGGUUGCUGCCCCGGCUGGCGGCGAGCAUGUGAUUUCCCCGAGAGCGCGGCCUCCUCCUCCUCCUCUUCCUCCUCUUCCUCAUCCUCACCCCCCUCCUCUACCCUCACACCUCCCCCUUCCCAGAGGGGGGCUCCCCGCCCGGCCCUCCCCACGUGCGCGGCUCCUUUCUCUGCCCACCCGCCCCCUCCUCCCCCUUUUUAUCCCCCCCUCCCUUCCCCUUCCCCUUUUUUUUUUUUUCUUUUUUUUUUUUUUCUCCUCCCGGUAUUGUGGGGGCCGGGCGCUGCCUCCCAGCCUCCAGCAGGACCCCCCCCGGGAGCCUUCCUCCCAUUUCCACGGCCUCCCCGAGCCCCGGCAGCAGGGCCCUGGCGCGGGGCUGGGAUUGCAGAACUCCAUUUUCCUCCACGGGCGUCGCCUCCACCACCACCGCCGCCACCGCCGCCUCCAUCGCUCGCCCCUACUGAAAUCGCCGCCGCUUGAAGCGGGGUGGCGAGCCUGAAGUUUGCACUUUUUCAUUUUCCUCGGCCUCCCCGCGAGGCUGCCAGCCAGAUCUGACAUCAGGCUCCCCGCCGUGUCGGUGUGGGGGGGGGGUGGGGUGGGUUAUUUUUUUUUUUUUUAUUAUUUAUUAUUUAUUUUUUGCAAGAGCGGCGCGCGGGGCUCGGCCGCGCUGAUUCAUCGGGAGGGAUCGAUCCCCGCCGGGCGCUCAGCGCGGCUCGGCGGCUUCCACCCGGAAAGCUGUCGGCGUAAUGGUGGCGAGGAGGAGAAGUUCGGUGUGCCAGAUAUAUUUCCAGCUGACGGCCAGUCUGGCACGGCCUUGUCUGCCUCCUUGGCUUCCACAGAAGGAGGAACAGGCUGAUCCAGGCGAGGCAGAGCUCCCGCUGCCAGCUCCGAGCAUCGCCACCCUCCUGCCACCCUGGACCCCGCAGCGGAGCUCCGCUUUUCCUCGCUGCCAGCCCAGCAGCUGCAGCCUUUCUGCCCAGUGCCCCCCCUCCCCGUGCUGGUCACACACUGGUCAGCUUCCCGGCAUACCUCCUGCUUUCAAGAUAAGCUCCAGGACCUUGGGCUGGGCCCUGUUUGCUGCUCUUGCUGCUUAUCAGCUCUCGGCCGCUGACAAGGUGACCUGCGGCACCAAGGACCGGGCGGGAGGGAAGGUGUCCCCAACCCGUGCCGUGCUUUGGGAUGGCACCGCUGGGACCCACAGCACGUCUGUGUGCGUCUGCGUGUGUCUGUGUGACCACAUGCACCCCGCAUCACUCGUGUGCUGAGCACCCUGGUCCUGGUGCCAGGACCCGGCUGGAUGCAGGGCUUGCAGCGUGCGGCGGAGGUCGGCUCCUCGGGAGGGGCGGCCUCGCUGGGUCAUCGUUUUUCAAACUAAAUAUAGUUGCCUGCGCUUUCAUAAGGCUGGGAUUUUUGCGUCACGUGAUUUGUCUUAUCCCUCCUGGCCGGCAGUCAGUCAGAGUAGGGGAUCUUGUGUCUGAAUGGGUAAUAAUUAACUGUUAACUAGCUUUUCAUUAGGGGCUGGCAGAACAGGCAGAGCGGUGCUGCGGAGGGAAGCAGGAGCGGAGGAAACCCCUCUGGGUCUGUCCUGGAGGGUGGAGGCCGGUGCCGGUAGGACACCCCCCUUUAAUUUGCAAAUCAGCAGCCCCCAAAGGUGGGUGGGUUGGUUUUUCUUGUGCCUUUUACGAGGAGUCGGAGUCCUGCGCGUCUGUCCUUGCCGUCCUGUACUUCCUGCUCGUCGCCCCUCCCUCUCCCCAGCCGCUGAUUUUUUUUUUUUCAGGUCACGAUCUAUCAGCUGGGCUCCGGGCCGCCCUGGAGGAGAGCCUGACCCCCAGCCUCCUCCAUGACUUGGCUCUUCUCUCUGCCUGCCCUCAUUCUCCCCGGGCCCCUGCGGCCUCGUCUCGGUGCUGAGCGCGCCGCGGCGUCCUCCCCUCCCCGCCCCGCUGUGGAGGUGCCCUUGCUGUGCCUCGGCGCCCCGAGCAGCAGCAGCUGAAGCCACUCGCCUCUUUUCUCAGGGCUCGCUCGGCCUCUGCAGCCCCAGCCUGCCCCUGACGGACGUCCACAGGUUGCAGGACCCGUGUGGCAUCUGCUGCGGGCGCCGCCGGCUUUCCCAGCCCUCUCCAUUAACUGUUUAAUCCGCCGGGGAGCGUUCGCAGAUGUCCUCGGAGGCAUGGGGGCGGCUGGCGUCGCUCUCCUGCGGGAUGACAGGGGAAUUGCUGGCUCCGUGCUCUGCUGGCCAGGGACGUGCCUGUGCCAGGGAAGCCGGGUCAGGCGCUGGGGCUGGAGCUGUGUGGUAGCGUGGGCGCUGCUCCCCUCCCCCAGGGACAGCGAGGUGGCUCCGGAUUGCGCCCUGGUUGCGAGCUGGGCAUCCCUGGCUGAGUCCCCACCGCAGUUUGGAAGCCACCAGCUCCCAAACUCCACCAGUUCUUGCAGCAAAGACCAU
ensembl:lncRNA